AAUUUCAUUUUUUUUUUCAUGUUUCCGGUUACGGCGAGAGCUCUUUCAUUUCCUUUCAAGUCGCAGCCAUGAUGAAGAAAACACGUGGUACUAAACUCCAACUAGCCUCCAACAUCGUGCAAAGAAUUGACGGUUAUGGCUGAAGCCGGCUUGUGGCAGUUGAUUAAAAAUUAAAUGAAUUUAUUCAGCGUGCAAAAGUGAAGCCCAAUAAUGAUUCCGUGAUGCAGAUCUACAUUCAUCUAGCAGAGCGAAGCGUAGAGGGACACGUUUAAAAAUGAAAUUGAUAAAUUAAUCAUAUCGAUCGUGUUAUGGCAAAAAAUAUAAACUAAAGCUAUGCCGACCAAUUUCUUCAGAAAACUUGGCGUAUAUUCAAGGAAUGGAAAUAUGGGAGUUCAAUUUAUUUGAGAGGCGUUUUUGAAAUCUCUUUGAUAUAUGAUGUAGGCAAUGACCGAGAGUGCACGGAUUUCCACCAUUGUUCAAUAUCAAGUGCGAUUUUUAGGGUUCAUAUUCUUAGGGAAUACUGUUUGCUCGUAUUGCUGAUUCAAGCUAUUGAAAAAGGUCUUGCACGGAUGGGCAUAUAUAUCUAAUUUAAAAACUGUUAAAAGAAAAUAUUGAUGAAAUACAAAUUUUUAUU